AAUGAACGUUGGCGGCGUGGAUUAGGCAUGCAAGUCGAGCGAGAACCCCGCAAGGGGGGACAGCGGCAACGGGGUAGUAAUGUGUCGGAACGUGCCCGGAGGACGGGGAUAGCGGCGGGAAACUGCCGGUAAUACCCGAUGAUCUCCGCCCCUGUGAUGGGGGUUGAGCAAAGGUGUGAUUCCGCCUUUGGAGCGGCCGACAUGGUAUUAGCUAGUUGGCGGGGUAGCGGCCCACCAAGGCUGUGAUGCCUAAGGGAUGUGAGAGCAUGAUCCCCACCAUUGGGACUGAGACACUGCCCAGACACCUACGGGUGGCUGCAGUCGAGAAUCUUCGUCAAUGGGCGAAAGCCUGAACGAGCGACGCCGCGUGCGGGAUGAAGGCCCUU
rnacentral:rRNA from 1 species